rnacentral:rRNA from 1 species
AUCUUCCGAAAUGGACGAAAGUCUGACGGAGCGAUGCCGCGUGAGUGAUGAAGGUCUUCGGAUCGUAAACUUCUGUAGUUAGGGAAGAACAAGUAUCGGAGGAAUAUGCCGGUACCUUGACGGUACCUAACCAGAAAGCACCCGCUAACUACGUGCCAGCAGCCGCGGUAAUACGUAGGUGGCAAGCGUUGUCCGGAAUUAUUGGGUGUAAAGGGCACGCAGGCGGUUAUUUAAGUCUGAUGUGAAAUCUUGUGGCUUAACCACAAGCGGUCAGUGGAAACUGGAUAACUUGAGUACAGAAGAGGAGAGUGGAAUUCCACGUGUAGCGGUGAAAUGCGUAGAGAUGUGGAGGAACACCAGUGGCGAAGGCGGCUCUCUGGUCUGUAACUGACGCUGAGGUGCGAAAGCGUGGGUAGCGAACA